rnacentral:rRNA from 1 species
UACGGAGGGUGCAAGCGUUAUCCGGAUUCACUGGGUUUAAAGGGUGCGUAGGUGGGCAGGUAAGUCAGUGGUGAAAUCUCCGGGCUUAACUCGGAAACUGCCAUUGAUACUAUCUUUCUUGAAUACCGUGGAGGUCAGCGGAAUAUGUCAUGUAGCGGUGAAAUGCUUAGAUAUGACAUAGAACACCCAAUUGCGAAGGCAGCUGGCUACACGAAUAUUGACACUGAUGCACGAAAGCGUGGGGAUCAAACAGG